CCGUAAGGGGUGAGCUGAUCCCUGUCACAUGGAACAUGACGGGGCGCGUGAGCGGGUGCGGGAGCGUGACACGUGGAGAACCUACCUUUAAGACUGGCAUGGCUCCGGGAAACCGGGGCUAAUACCGGAUAACAUCUUUCUUUGCAUAAAGAGAGAUUGAAAGAUGGCUUUUGCUAUCACUUAUAGAUGGACCCGCGGCGCAUUAGCUAGUUGGUGAGGUAACGGCUCACCAAGGCGACGAUGCGUAGCCGACCUGAGAGGGUGAUCGGCCACACUGGGACUGAGACACGGCCCAGACUCCUACGGGAGGCAGCAGUAGGGAAUCUUCCGCAAUGGACGAAAGUCUGACGGAGCAACGCCGCGUGAGUGAUGAAGGUUUUCGGAUCGUAAAACUCUGUUGUUAGGGAAGAAAAAGUACCGUUCAAAUAGGGGCGGUACCUUUGACGGUACCUAACCAGAAAGCCACGGCUAACUACGUGCCAGCAGCCGCGGUAAUACGUAGGUGGCAAGCGUUGUCCGGGAAUUAUUGGGCGUAAAGCGCGCGCAGGCGGUCUCUUAAGUCUGAUGUGAAAGCCCACGGCUCAACCGUGGAGGGUCAUUGGAAACUGGGGGACUUUGAGUGCAGAAGAGAAAGUGGAAUUCCACGUGUAGCGGUGAAAUGGCGUAGAUAUGUGGAGGAACACCAGUGGCGAAGGCGACUUUUCUGGUCUGUAACUGACGCUGAGGCGCGAAAGCGUGGGGAGGCAAACAGGACUAGAUACCCCUGGUAGUCCCACGCCGUAAACGAUGAUUGCUAAGUGUUAGGGGGGUUCCGCCCCUUAGUGCUGCAGCUAACGCAUUAAGCACUCCGCCUGGGGAGUACGGUCGCAAGACUGAAACUCAAAGGAAAUUGACGGGGGCCCGCACAAGCGGUGGAGCAUGUGGUUUAAUUCGAAAGCAACGCGAAGAACCUUACCAGGUCUUGACAUCCUCUGCUACCUCUAGAGAUAGAGGGUUCCCUUCGGGGGACAGAGUGACAGGUGGUGCAUGGUUGUCGUCAGCUCGUGUCGUGAGAUGUUGGGUUAAGUCCCGCAACGAGCGCAACCCUUGAUCUUAGUUGCCAGCAUUCAGUUGGGCACUCUAAGAUGACUGCCGGUGACAAACCGGAGGAAGGUGGGGAUGACGUCAAAUCAUCAUGCCCCUUAUGACCUGGGCUACACACGUGCUACAAUGGACGGUACAAAGGGCAGCAAGACCGCGAGGUUUAGCCAAUCCCAUAAAACCGUUCUCAGUUCGGAUUGUAGGCUGCAACUCGCCUACAUGAAGCUGGAAUCGGUGGUAAUCGCGGAUCAGCAUGACGCGGUGAAUGUGUGGUCGGGCUGAGUUCACCAAGUCUCGUCACGGCAUAUAGCAACUGUGUUUUGCUGUGCGCACCACAAGUCGUAACAAGGUAUAUC
rnacentral:rRNA from 1 species